AAUAAUAAUAAUAAUGGGCUACAGCAAAUAUUCUGCUCAAUACCACAGAUUUGCUUGUCAGUUGUUUGACCUUAACCAGUGGCUGAUAAUAUGUGCAUCUCUGAUCACGAGCAGAAGUAGUGGGGGAGUAUCAUAGCCAUGUGUUGAGAGGGAUUCUUUGGGGUUUGAAUAAUUCACCUCUGGAAACAUGGGUGUUUCGUUCAACAUCCUUAAACAACCCUUACUCAGGGACCUUUUGAGCAGGAUGAGUUACUCGACCAGAAGAAAAUUCUAACUGGGCCCCACCUACAAGGUCAUGUGCUGUUUAUCUUGAUAUAAGAUCAUAAUGACGCGCACAUAUGGUUGUGAUGCAUGUGCCUGGUGUACCCUUAUCAGACGGGUAGUCAUGAUGGGUAUACUGGGCUUCGUAUAUUUUACCCCAGUGUCACUUUGAUGGCAUGCACUGCUCUCUCACUCAAUAAUAAUAAUAAUAAUACAGGAGAAAUACGGACAUACAUGUGAGCUGAGUAAGGAAUGCAACAACCGAAAGAAGUAUAUGAAGAGCUAGGGAAAAACAAUAACAUUUAGGUACACUUUCCACAAAGCUUGGGAACCGCCCAGAGCAUAAUUUGAGAACAUUAUUAACUCAAGCAAUAAAUAAACCGUGGAUUUGCUGGACGUUAUUUUCGUUCAUAAUAGUUGACAAAGAAACUUCUACGAAGAUAGAAGGUUUUUGAAUGUUAGAACAUGAGCAAUAGAAAUGAUCCAUUGGCUCAUGAAAGAUAUCAGGCUGAGGUCUGAUAUUGGAUAAAUACAAGAAAAGUGUGAGAAUGAAUCUAUACUUUGAAAUACUCAGCUCGUAAAAUACCCGGCAGCGAAAAUUUUCUGAUAUUAUGAUACUAAGACCAGGAGUUUCAUUUUUAAAGACAAAGGACUUUCAAAAAUUAUCUUCCUGAAUAAGAAAUAACUUCUAAACAAUAAAUCCAACACAGUAGUAACAAAAAUGACAUCGACAGUAAGUCAAACAGCACUGGUUACUUUUGUUGCUUCAGAUGGUAUAGCAUUGGAACGACGUCCAAAUUCACAAGUUGCAGUGGAUGACCAUAUUCAAUACUUAAACAAACAUAGGUGGUCAAUUUUCUAUGAACUAAAGAUCUCUCUCUCUCUCUCUCUCUCUCUCUCUCUCUCUCACUCUCUCUCUCUCUCUCUCUCUCUCUCUCUCUCUCUCUCUCUCUCCGGCACAGAGUAAGUUAAAGACUAUAGCGCUAAACUUUAGCACUAUGUCAGGAAAUGAGAUGAAGGUGAUGGCACUCAGAUUGAAAUGGCGCGAUGCAGCGAGGAAGAGAUGCCAGAAGUGACUAUAAUUACUGUAUAAUACAAAACGUCGAUGUUUUCCAGAGCAAAAUAAUGUCAAAGAACGCUAAAAUAAUAUUUUAUUCGCUCAUUCAGACUCGAAAAAUUAUCAUAAAGAUGACCAAUAAAAUAAAAUAAAAUGCCUUGAUGGCGAAGGAAAUCAAAGGACAGUCAUAAAAGAGGAGGGGUUUCUAACCUAUUCUAACAUAUAUAAAAGGAUAUGGAAAUCUUUACUUCGGGCGUUGCAGAUUUCUUUGUUGCAAUAAAACCCCAGCUUUCUGACACCAAAUUCCGCGUCUACUAGAAACCAGAUAUCCAUUUUUAUUAUGCUUCCAUUGACUCCGACCAUGGGCAUUAUCUAGAACUUGAACGUGGUUUGGGGAGUUUUGGUAGCAAAGUACUGCAAGGCCUUAUGUCAUUUGAAUUUGUAAUAGUUAUCAGUGAAAUUAGGUUUGUCAAUACGACAGAUUCACUGUUUUUGAUGAUAAACGGCGUCUACUCCUUGUUCCCUCGAUAUGGAUCUAAUGUGGCAGCAGUGUUGUUUUGGAAAUCUACAGAUCUUUUAGCGACGACUGUCUUUCUGAGCACGAAGGAUUUCAAUGUUUCAGCAGGUGAGUAGAUGUGAAAGCAGAGGCAGAUAGUGGCCGUUUGGCCGUUGUGGCACUGUCUUCUUCAAGUACCUAAAAGCAUUCUUAAAGAUAUUGUCUAUUAGUUAUCCUAUACAUACUGCUCAAUAUAUAUAGGUACUUAGACAGUGCUGGGCUUGUGUGAGUAGCGAGUAGAAAUUAAGACUGUAAUUACUCAAGGAGGGACUUCUAAUUAUCCGACAAAAACGACUAGAUUUGCCGAAGAAGCCAACGCUAAGUUUAUUUAGUGAGCGGAUACUAAUAAUUAUGCUUUCCAUAUUUCAGGAAGUUGGCUGCAUAUACAAGCUUGUAAUUUGUAGUCAAAGUAGAAAAGUUGAUUCAACGUCCAAAUAAAAGUCGCAUAGUCACCUAACCUACUAGAAAUAGCAACUAAAUUAUUCUCAAACUACACCUUACCAUCUGCUUUAUCAGAAGUUAGCUGAGUUAAACAAGUUAGGACUUCAAAAGAUUCAGUUAUUGGAAGUUGAAUAUGCUACACUCAGAGUCAUAAAUCCUUCGGUAACUGGAAUAUUCAGUUAGUUAAACUGUAAUUGACGAAGGAUAUUAAAUAAUGAGAGGGCUUAGAAGGAAAAGUUAGUUUUGAAUCGUUUACAAUAAAUAAAGAACUACUAAUUGAAAAUACUAGAUUAAUCGAUAGACGAGGAGAGGCUUGCAGGAAAGCUAUUGUAGUCGAGGUGCCUGGGGUAAGAUUGACCAUUCCUUUUGACGCUAAAGAUAAAGAUUGUAUUGUUUGUGCAUGCUCUACAGCUUGAGACUACAGAAAAUGUUUAAAAGAUUUGUGCAGCCAAAGAAUGAUACGAUACUAUUUGAUAAUCUGAGUUUGGCAAACAAACAUAGUACACCUCCAGCUGAGUAUUUCCAAACCAUUUGUUUGGGGGGUAUCUAACCAGUUUGGACUGUUUGCUACAUUUAUUAGUAGAAGCACUUGUUGUUUAGCCUCAUGUCAGUUCCGAUUAUUUUUCAGACAAUAUAUUUAGGGUUACCUUAACCAAAAUUUCUUUGCUUUUUAAUAUGGUUUAAGGUUGUUUCGAAGGAGAUUUAUCUAUUAUUUCAAGCAUUUCAGCUCCUUCUUUGCUUCGUAAUCUUUUACGUGCCAGAAAUAGUGUAAAAGGUUUACACUAAGAUGUAAAACUUCUUAGAUGCGCUAAUUACCGAGUGGCUACUCCAGAAGAAUAACACAAAUUGAUUGUAUGCCUGAUGAACUCUGUUUGAAUAUUUCAAAGUUCAGAUUUUUCCUCUUUGUGUUAGUAGUCAUUUACCGUAACUGGCAGUAGACUUGAAUCAGCCAUGACAGCUGAAGAAUAGAUGCUGAGAAUAGGAGAUAAGGAAUUAUAAUGGAUAAAGUUUGGUCCUCAUUGGUUGAAAUAGAUUUUAGUUAUCACUAAGAGAUUGGUGUUCGUUUGGCCUUGAUAAGAGAUGUCUGAUACGUACAACAUGCAAAAUCUCUGAAAGAUCAAUUCAAAAUAACCUCUAUUUCCUUGGUCAAGGUAAAUGGAUAAAUAUCGGAACUGUUAGGUAUCAAGCUAUCGAUCGAUCCAUCAACUGCUGACUUUCACUGCUAACUGCUGUACGGAGGUACUGUAGGUAAUGAUACUGCAAUAGAUACUGAUGCUAUAUCUGAAAGGUGAGGGUAUAGUGUAUUGCUUUCUUUCUGUCAGAAGUGCUUUUUUUUUAUCCUUGAGUUAACCAAUAUGGAUUCUAUUAAAUCAAGCAAGAGAAUUGACAUUUGGAGUGUUGUUACGCGUUCAGUUUUCGACUCAUUUGGAAAUGUAUUAAAUGUGCCCGGUUUGUUCAUUUGUUAUGUCUGUUAAUGCAUGUAGAACAGAUGAAGCCGUCACCUGAGUUCAUUGUGAAUAUUACCAUACUGACUUCCCUUUACUUAUAAUAAUUUUCUCUUUCUGGUACCUAUAGAGAAUGAGGUCGGAAGGGUUGAAGACAAAAAUUUCCCAUCUGACAAAAUUCCUCAUUAACUUCUUUAAAUAUCACAUGAAGUAUGUAAGGCUGGAGACAAUAUUUGUCCUACUGUAUAUUUUACAAAACAAAGGUGAGGGAAGCGAAUUUAGUGUAGCCAUAAGGUCCAACCUUUUAGUCUAUCCUAAUCGAUCAUUAAGGGCUGUCUACCCACUCGGUGGAUCUUUAUUAUAUACUUCAUAUACAAUACUAUAUAUAUAUGUGUGUG
rnacentral:lncRNA from 1 species